rnacentral:rRNA from 1 species
UGGGGAAUAUUGCACAAUGGGCGCACGCCUGAUGCAGCCAUGCCGCGUGUGUGAAGAAGGCCUUCGGGUUGUAAAGCACUUUCAGCGGGGAGGAAGGGAGUAAAGUUAAUACCUUUGCUCAUUGACGUUACCCGCAGAAGAAGCACCGGCUAACUCCGUGCCAGCAGCCGCGGUAAUACGGAGGGUGCAAGCGUUAAUCGGAAUUACUGGGCGUACAGCGCACGCAGGCGGUUUGUUAAGUCAGCUGUGAAAUCCCCGGGCUCAACCUGGGAACUGCAGCUGAUACUGGCAAGCUUGAGUCUCGUAGAGGGGGGUAGAAUUCCAGGUGUAGCAGUGAAAUGCGUAGAGAUCUGGAGGAAUACCGGUGGCGAAGGAGGCCCCCUAGACGAAGACUGACGCUCAGGUGCGAAAGCGUGGGGAGCAAACAGG